rnacentral:rRNA from 1 species
AACGAACGCUGGCGGCAUGCCUAACACAUGCAAGUCGAACGAGACCUUCGGGUCUAGUGGCGCACGGGUGCGUAACGCGUGGGAACCUGCCCUUAGGUUCGGAAUAACUCCCCGAAAGGGGUGCUAAUACCGGAUAAUGUCUUCGGACCAAAGAUUUAUCGCCUUUGGAUGGGCCCGCGUUGGAUUAGCUAGUUGUUAGGGUAAAAGCCUACCAAGGCGACGAUCCAUAGCUGGUCUGAGAGGAUGAUCAGCCACACUGGGACUGAGACACGGCCCAGACUCCUACGGGAGGCAGCAGUGGGGAAUAUUGGACAAUGGGCGAAAGCAUGAUCCAGCAAUGCCGCGUGAGUGAUGAAGGCCUUAGGGUUGUAAAGCUCUUUUAACCGGGAUGAUAAUGACAGUACCGGGAGAAUAAGCCCCGGCUAACUCCGUG